CAUCACUACGCUAGAUGCAUAUCAAUAAGCGGAGGAAAAGGGAAACUAACUAGGAUUCCCUCAGUAACGGCGAGUGAAGCGGGAAGAGCUCAAAUUUGAAAUCUUCAAGGUUCUACCUUGACGAAUUGUAGUUUAAAGAAGUGUUUUCUGUUGGAGUUUUGGUAAAAGUUCUUUGGAAUAGGACAUCAUAGAGGGUGAGAAUCCCGUAUUUGACCAUUAUUUCCAGCUGUGUGAUACACUUUCAAAGAGUCGGAUUGUUUGGGAAUGCAGUCCAAAAUGGGUGGUAAAUUUCAUCUAAAGCUAAAUAUUGGCGAGAGACCGAUAGCGAACAAGUACCGUGAGGGAAAGAUGAAAAGAACUUUGAAAAGAGAGUUAAACAGUACGUGAAAUUGUCAAAAGGGGAAGCGUUUGACACCAGUGUUGUUUUCUCGAAAAUCAAUUAAAAAUGGAUGGGAUGUUGUGUUGUAUUGACUUUAUCAGCUUUCUGCACUCUUUUUCCUAUCUUUUUUAAUGCACUUUUCGUUUAACAAGUCAACAUCAAUUUCUUUUCGUUGUAAAAGAGUCGAUUGGAAGGUGGCUUUCUUUUCGGAGAAAGUGUUUAUAGCCUUUGUGCCUUCUGCAAGUCGGAGAGAUUGAGGUCUGCAGCGUAGAUCCUUCGGGGUUAGAUAGCAUUUGUGCUAAGUUAUAGCCUUUUCAUAGACAACUUGUUGACUAUGAUUUCAGUCAUUGUAGCUUACUCGCUUAUGCUAUUUUACCUACGCUUAGGAUGUUGACGAGACUGUCGAUCUC
rnacentral:rRNA from 1 species